GUGGGGGAUAUUGCACAAUGGGGGAAACCCUGAUGCAGCGACGCCGCGUGAGUGAAGAAGUAUUUCGGUAUGUAAAGCUCUAUCAGCAGGGAAGAAAAUGACGGUACCUGACUAAGAAGCCCCGGCUAACUACGUGCCAGCAGCCGCGGUAAUACGUAGGGGGCAAGCGUUAUCCGGAUUUACUGGGUGUAAAGGGAGCGUAGACGGUAUGGCAAGUCUGAAGUGAAAGCCCCGGGCUCAACCUGGGAACUGCUUUGGAAACUGUUAAACUAGAGUGCUGGAGAGGCAGGCGGAAUUCCUAGUGUAGCGGUGAAAUGCGUAGAUAUUAGGAGGAACACCAGUGGCGAAGGCGGCCUGCUGGACAGUAACUGACGUUGAGGCUCGAAAGCGUGGGGAGCAAACAGGA
rnacentral:rRNA from 1 species